CGUGCAUCCCAUGGAAUAAAGUCUGAGUUCUCCAUAGCUUUAACCAAAGUUAGAUUGUCUAAUUCUAACUCGAGGGGAUAGUGUCUUCGAGGGACUAAGAACUUUAGGGUUUCCAAGAGAGCCACAAAUUCCGCUUGAGAGGCUGAGGAGACAUGGAUUUGUUUUGCAAAGCCAUCAACAAGUGUCCCCUCUGAGUUUCGAACGAUGCAAGCGAUUACGCCUUCCAUGGAGCUUUCGACGAAGGAUCCAUCAAUAUUGACCUUUAAAGAUCUGCCCUUUGGGGGUUUCCAGAUCUCAGAUGAGGUGGGUGCGUCAAGGUCUGGUUUUUGCUUUGAAUUCCAUCUCCUGUAAUUGCUGAGAGAAGUUAGAGCUCCCUGUAGUGCUUGAACUGGGUCUGAGAGUUUCUUUCGAAAGAUAAAGGUGUUGCGGGAAGUCCAAAUAAACCAGAAGAUGGUUGCAACAAGUUCCAGAGAAGGGAUGGUUGAGCCCAUAUUUCUCUUGUCCAGGGACAAAGAAGAAGGAGAUGCUCUGUGGAUUCCACCUGGUCUUUACACAGUGAGCAUAAAGGAUAUGGUACUAUUUUUCGCUUGUGUAAGUUUUCCAUUGUGGGUAGACUGUUCUGACGUGCAUUCCAUAGAAAGAACUUAAUUUUAGGGAUGGUUUCCAUUUUCCAAAUCUUAUUCCACAAAGCUCGAGGAGCCGAGAAAGAUGAGGAGGCCAUUGGAGUUUUUCGGAUAUUCUCAUUUAGCAGAUACUACCUGAAGUUUUCUUGGAAAGUUUGCUACUUGUUCAGGAAUUGAGGACCAGGCUUCAUUAACUACAUGGACAAAAUCAUCAGCUUCAAACCAGGCCACGAGCAUCUAUUCUCACUUCUUUCACCUGGCCUGCUAAGCUAACUAGAGAUUCUACUACUUUCGAGGAAAACCAUCCGAUUGGCAAAUUAACUAUUCGAAUCCAGAAGAGAAGAGCCAAUCGAGCUGAGGCCUCAUCAUCAUCUUCCAUUUCUGAAAGAUUGGUACCUUGAUAAUCGAUUUGAAGGCAAAUAUAGAAGUGGAGAAGAGGGCAGCGGCUAGGGUUUUUUGGGGAGUGACGUCAAAACCCUAAAUGAAAAAAGGGGGGAAAGAAGAAAUGAAGCACCAAAAGCUGCGUGGGAAUUCAUGGUGAUGAUUGAGCAAACCAGUAGGGAUCUUGUUAGGGUUUGUAAGUUGAGGGAGCCAUUGCUGCACAGUCGGUAGAGGAGAGCUACACACUCGGUA